rfam:Ixodes scapularis strain Wikel colony gcontig_1107728900708, whole genome shotgun sequence.
GCCGGGAUGGUCUAAUCGGUUAAGGCGUCGCCCCGGACAGGCGGAGGUUGCGGGUUCAAUCCCCGUUCCUGGCC